UACGGAAGGGGCAAGCGUUGUUCGGAAUCAUUGGGCGUAAAGGGCGCGUAGGCGGUCUCGUAUGUCUGCUGUGAAAUCCCACGGCUCAACCGUGGAGGGUCGGUGGAAACUGCGAGACUUGAGGCUGGGAGGGGCCGGUGGAAUUCCCCGUGUAGCGGUGAAAUGCGUAGAUAUGGGGGAGAACACUCGUGGCGAAGGCGGCCGGCUAGACCAGUCCUGACGCUGAUGCGCGACAGCGUGGGGAGCAAACAGG
rnacentral:misc_RNA from 1 species